GAGCCAUUAGCUCAGUCGGUAGAGCACCUGACUUUUAAUCAGGGUGUCCGGCGUUCGAGCCGCCGAUGGCUCA
rnacentral:tRNA from 1 species